rnacentral:rRNA from 1 species
AACGAACGCUGGCGGCAUGCCUAACACAUGCAAGUCGAACGAGACCUUCGGGUCUAGUGGCGCACGGGUGCGUAACGCGUGGGAACCUGCCCUUAGGUUCGGAAUAACUCCCCGAAAGGGGUGCUAAUACCGGAUAAUGUCUUCGGACCAAAGAUUUAUCGCCUUUGGAUGGGCCCGCGUUGGAUUAGCUAGUUGGUAGGGUAAAAGCCUACCAAGGCGACGAUCCAUAGCUGGUCUGAGAGGAUGAUCAGCCACACUGGGACUGAGACACGGCCCAGACUCCUGCGGGAGGCAGCAGUGGGGAAUAUUGGACAAUGGGCGAAAGCCUGAUCCAGCAAUGCCGCGUGAGUGAUGAAGGCCUUAGGGUUGUAAAGCUCUUUUACCCGGGAUGAUAAUGACAGUACCGGGAGAAUAAGCUCCGGCUAACUCCGUG